rnacentral:rRNA from 1 species
UCGAGAAUCUUCCGCAAUGGGCGAAAGCCUGACGGAGCGACGCCGCGUGGAGGAUGAAGGCCUUCGGGUUGUAAACUCCUGUCACGAGUUAAGAAAGGCAAGCAGCGAACAGCUGUUUGCUCUGACGUAAGCUCGAGAGGAAGCACUGGCUAACUCUGUGCCAGCAGCCGCGGUAAUACAGAGAGUGCGAACGUUGUUCGGAAUUACUGGGCUUAAAGCGCACGUAGGCGGCAUCGUAAGUGUCAGGUGAAAUCCCACGGCUCACCCGUGGAACUGCCCGGCAGACUGCGAUGCUCGAGUGUGGUAGGGGAGAACGGAACUCCUGGUGGAGCGGUGAAAUGCGUAGAUAUCAGGAGGAACACCGGUGGCGAAGGCGGUUCUCUGGUCCACAACUGACGCUGAGGUGCGAAAGCUAGGGGAGCAAACGG